AUAUUUCCUCUAAAUAGUUUGUGGUCUAGUGAAAAAAUGUGUUCUUAUCAGCUUAAUUCUGUUACGUUCUGCAUUACAGGACUAAAAUAUUAAACUUAUUUUUGGCUCAUGACGUGAUGAUAAAAAUAUGUUCUAAUUCUGUCACUGUAUGCCUUCUCACUUUCGAACUAUCUUAAGCUGGUCAAA